GAACAUUCUGAUCUGACAUCCUGGAAAAUCCUGCUUUAGCUACAUAUUUGUGGGCCACAGAGCUUUCCUAUAAAAAUUGCUCUUGUUUAUUUAUUCAGUUUUGUAUAGGACAACUGCUUUCAACAUUUCCCAAGGAGCACAUUCAACAUAUAUUCCUGAGGCUGUUUUUAUGCAUAAAUAUCCUUUGCAGUCUCCUUUAGGUAGUGCAUAUGGACCCUUAAAAAUGCAGUUUUACUUUUUGCAGGAGGCGGAGAGGAGGUGGAACAGAGUUCAUCCUUCCCCAGCAUUGUAUCACAGCUGAAUGCCAGCCCAUCCAUCUAACAGAUUGGUUGUAAAGGUGACUCUCAGCCGUCUCUUGAAGAUUUAUAUCUAAUUCCUGGAGACUCCAGGGCAACCCUGGAGGGUUGGCAACCCCACCGGACAUUCCUGUCCCAGAGGAUCCUCUGGUGAUCACAGCUCAUGUUUCCUCUCUUUCUCCAUAUAGCAGCAGCCACAAGUAGAGUGAAUCAGUGCUGAUCUGACUAGCUGCUUCAGUAGACCUUCAAGCUCUUCAUUAUAAGAGAAGGUUUGGAAAUUGUAGGAGCUGCUGGAAAUAAAACCCAGCUAACAACGUGUGAACAUACUAGCUAUACAGAGAUUUCUAGCAAGUGCUUUGUGAACGAAUAGCAGGUGUUUCCGCAGGAGUAUAAUAUACUGGCAUAAAAUUGGCAAAAUAUUUUAACUUCGUGGCCCUCAAGGUCUUUUUAAUGUUGUUCUCACUGUGUGUUGGUUCUUCUCCAAACGAAAAAAAAAGGAGUCCACUGGGGACCAGCAUGCUAUCUUGAAUUCUCGAAUAUUUGAGCUAGAGACUGUGCAGCUUAGAGGAAGAAGGAUCAUAUUUUCAAGCCCUCAGCAUUCACCCCUAGGGCCAGGUGUUAGAAAAAAAGCACAGACCCUAUUCAGGCACCUAAAGAAGGGCAGUAUUUCCAGAAACCCUCUGCUCCAUCAGUUCUCAUUUGUGACACUGGUGGCCAGAUUUUCUCAAGAGCUCAACAUCCAACCUGAUGAUGAGCUUUUGGAAAUCUGGCUCCAGCAUUGGAAACAUGAUCUAAAGUGUCUGCUUCAUAGGUCAAAGGUAUGUCUGCUGACUUUGGUUCCAUCCCUACAAUCCUAGGUUAAGUCUCACCACUUUUCUAAAGCAAACAAACACAAAGAAAGGAUAAUCCCAAUCAAAACAUUCCAUAUGUAUAAAAUAAAGCCAAAUGAGGGAGGGAACAAUUCAUCCACCUACAGAUGCGAGAGCUAUAAAAACAACCACAUCGGAAAAAGGCUAGCCACUUAAAUGGGCGACUUUAACAAGAAAUAAUGAGGCCUCCCACUUCUCAUAUCAAAGCAGGCAUGUCAGGGUUUAUGAACCUAAGGAAGGAGGCCAAGUUUGCACCCAGUAAUCUUCUUGCCUAGCAUGAACACUUACAUAGCCAACUCUCUUCUAAGGUCAGUGUUGAUAUAUCUUUCCUUAUAUGGCUGAACUGCUUUUCUAAUUAUUUUUCCCAAUGCAGUUUUUGGGGUUUUUUACUGGAGGAGCAUCAUGGGCAUUCAGCCUCCUGAGGUUUCACUGCACUGAAGAGAAAAUGAAUUCUUCCAGAGUCUAAUUUCUUCAUGAAGGAAUGUUUCCAGUUCAUUUUUUUCAAAUGCAAACCUGUCUCUGGAACUUUUUUCUCCCCGGAAAAAGGGAAUAAUUUAGGUAACACAUUAAAAAGGAAUUUGCCAGGUUAUUCAAGAUGCUCUGUAACACUCUGUUUUCCACUGGCUCUGUAUCAUACUGUUUCCCACACAGGGCAAAUAACUGAGUUAUUUUAGACUCAGAGAACAAAAGUGAAGACCCCAGGAGGCACUCCAGACAGAAUAUGCUUUUCCUCUAUCAAUCUGCCCUAAACUCUACUAUGCCAAUAGCUGCAGAGAGCAGAGUUGUAGAAAAAUAAGAAAGGCCUUCCUUACCCAAAAAACAAGUAAUUAUCAUUCAUAAUGAAGUAGUGCCUAGUGGCUCUCCCAGUCAGGAGCAGAGCCCUGCUGUGGAAGGUACUGUACAGACACAAGAUGAAAGGCAGUCUGUCUCUAUAUUACAGACUUCUUCAGUGUAUUUCUGUCAGUCAGAAGUGUGAAGAGCUGUGAUCCCUUCACGGACAGAAACCCCCAGCAUAGGGCCUAUACCAGCAACAUAGUGCUUUUACUUUUAUGGCUUGUUUUGCUUCUGGGAGCUGGUUUUACUCUACUAGUACAAAGUGUGGUUUUGCUGGUAUAGCUGUAUCCAUACUAGAACCCCUCAUCUAGUAUAAUACACUAGUAUUCCUGUACUGGCAUAGGUAUCGCAGCAUAGAUGUAGCCAAAGGCUGUGAUCCUACAAAGAUUGAUAAAUAUAUUUGAUUUUACACACUGAUCAAGCUUUAUUUCAGUCAUGGGAGUUUUUCCUUACAAUAGAGCUAAGCAUACAUAUAAAACUUUGCAGGACUGAUGUCUAUGUCAUAAAAGCUAGAAACAACAGACAUACACAUUGCGGACGGGCUUGCGAAUGAAUAGUGCAAAUCACGUGAUGCUGUCACAAGAAAAACUCAAGUUCAGCUUUUUUCUCAGAGUACAGGCUGCUUUGGACUGGCAUUUCGGUGUCAGCACUACUCUAACCACUGGGGAAGGGGGAAGCUGACAAACCUGCAAUAGGAAGGCAAUUUUCACAGUCAAGCUGGUCAGAGACUGAUGGUAAUGGCAGUGAUAAAUCCAGCAGAUACCGCCAUGGAUUUAACCAGAGGUGGAUGUGAACCAAACUCUGGAUUUGACCACCUGCAAACUUUGAGAAAUUUCAGAUUCAGACCCUGUGGCACAGAGCCACCUCUAAACAAUCAAUGGAUUCUCCUCUCCAUUCCAUAAACAUCCCCUCAGAUGACACUUCACAGGGCCAGAUUUUCAGUGAAUGAAAGUUGACGUGAAUUCACUGAAGCUGCAUCAAUGCCCAGUAUCCAAGAAUCCAGUCCAGUAGCCAAGAAUCCACUCUAUAGUUGUAUAUUUCCCAACACAGUCGCAGUGAGUACUCAGACUGAUUAUGCAGUCUAUCUCCCACCACCAAGCCACAAGGAACUGUAGUAGGCUUUUCACAGCUGGAAAACACUCAUUAGAGAUCUAAUGCUCAGCACAGCAAGAAGGAAAGGAGGAUGAGUUUAAAGGAAGGAGGCAAAAUGUCAAAAAUCCUCAAGGCACCAUUUGAUUUGGUCUGGGCUGCCUUGAGCCAAGCAGAGACACCCUGCUUGUGGAACCAAGAAUUAAAUUAACACACUGAGCUUUUUUCAGGAUUCCACUGGUUCAUUCCCUUCAAUAAGAGCCCUGGACAAACCCCGUUAUUAAAGAUGGUAACAAUGCCUUUGAUGGUCCUCAUCCAACCCCUACCAUUUGUAGGCAACACUCAAUAAAGGACCAGGUACAGAGCUCCAUUCUCACGCCUAGAGACAAUGCCUCAAGGUUAGAACUGAGGCAGGUUGUUGAAGGAGUGGUGAGGACCAUGAAGCUUAAAGUGACAACAGAUCCAGAACUGUUACCCCAAUGGCUUUAUCAGCAUUCAGUUCACUUCCCUUCCACUUAUGGCCCCUACAAACCUGCUAUAACCUAACUAUAACUUUUCAACCAUGGAAUAACUCUCCGUUUCUCCCCUAUGCUGCACAGCUACCAGCAACAUAAUGGUCUUGUCUGCACGGUAAAUUUACCAGGCUUGACAACAGUACCUGCACACGUCACAUUGCUCUGGAUAGGUUGCCUCUUAAAUCAAAAGCAGUGUAGCUGCAUCUGGGCAGCACUUCAGGCACUGUGAAAUGAUGGAGCCAACUAACCCAUCUCCAAGCCAAGUAGCCUGCCCACACAGAUAUGGCUAUACUAUCUCUGGUUUAGGAGGCCACCUUGCCAAGGUAGCACAGGUUGCUUGAAGUUGCUGCUGCCAGGCAUGGUAAGUUUAUGGCAUAGGCAUGGUCUGUGACUCUUUCUGUGGCUGUACCAGCAAAAGUCUCGGGGGGCAAUAGAACCCAACCUCCCAGCCCUUUACAUUCCAUAAAAUACAAAACUCUCAUUCAUCAUUUUUUGACAUAGGGACCUAGCAUGAAUGACUGAAUUGCAGCUGGAAGAUUGCUCAGAUCACUGAUUUGACCUGCUAAAAGAGGCAGCUUCUUUGAAAUGGACCUAAUCUCCUUGGCAAGGAGCAGGAGAAUGGCAGUAACACGAAGCACAAUAGUAGAAUGGAGAGAGUAAAGCUUCUGCAAACACCUCCUCAACACCCUGCAAAAGACAUUUGAACACAGCCCUUCUGUACGGCCCACCCUGUGAUGCUGUGCUCAGCUUCACUGUCUCCUGCUGCCUGUAGCCAGAGGUUUGGCAGCCUCUUGCUGGCAGCUGUGAAGAGAACUGCAGUGUUUUGGAAGUGUAACUGUGCUGGGGAGGUCAGUCUUCACAUUUCAGUACAAUCCCUCCAGUCCUGGAAAAAGAUUUGACAUUUGGAAUAAUCUGAGCACAUAGAUUAAAGGUUUCUUAAAAAGCCUUCUUUGAUUUUUCAUUUUUCCAUUAAAAACUGCAUAUUGUUAGCGUAUGUGAUGCACUGAAAUGAAAGCACUAGCCUGCAUAUACAGAGCAGAACAGAUGGCUGUGAGAUGUCAGUUUUGGAUCUGAAUCACAGAAAUGGAGGACUGGAAGGGACCUCAAGAGAUCAUGUAGUCCAACCUCCUGUACUGGUGAAGGACCAGCUAUACCAUGAUCACCACCAACAGAUGUUUGAAUGUGAACUUCCUCAGAAUUUAUGGGGUUGAUUUUAGCCAACUUUCAUUGCAGCAUGAGAACCCAGCCCUGGGUUAUCCAAGGUUUGAAACAGGGAGCUUCAAAUCCAAAAGCACAAGUCUUUACCACUUGAGCUGAAGGAUUAACUAAAGCCUACGGUUAACUUAUAUAAACAACACACACACACACACACACAAAAGCAGGUGGACUAGGACAACAUAGUAAAACCAACCAGUAUCACCCUCGUUGAGACUGCAAAAAAAUCAGAAUAGAAAUGUUUAACAGUGAAUGACGUUUCCCUUUAUGGCAAUGACUUUCUAUAAAAAUAUUCCUCUCUAAGUUUCCCUUGCAAACAUGAACAUGUUUAAGAGAAAAGAUAUGCAAGAUAAUAAAGUACUGUAGCUGUCUUUUAA